GACGAACGCUGGCGGCGUGCCUAAUACAUGCAAGUCGAACGCACUCUCGUUUAGAUUGAAGGAGUUUGCUCCUGAUUGAUAAACAUUUGAGUGAGUGGCGGACGGGUGAGUAACACGUGGGUAACCUGCCCUAAAGUGGGGGAUAACAUUUGGAAACAGAUGCUAAUACCGCAUAAAACCUAACGCCGCAUGGUGUAGGGUUGAAAGAUGGUUUCGGCUAUCACUUUAGGAUGGACCCGCGGUGCAUUAGUUAGUUGGUGAGGUAAAGGCUCACCAAGACCGUGAUGCAUAGCCGACCUGAGAGGGUAAUCGGCCACACUGGGACUGAGACACGGCCCAGACUCCUACGGGAGGCAGCAGUAGGGAAUCUUCCACAAUGGACGAAAGUCUGAUGGAGCAACGCCGCGUGAGUGAAGAAGGUUUUCGGAUCGUAAAACUCUGUUGUUGGAGAAGAAUGUAUCUGAUAGUAACUGAUCAGGUAGUGACGGUAUCCAACCAGAAAGCCACGGCUAACUACGUG
rnacentral:rRNA from 1 species